rnacentral:lncRNA from 1 species
AGAUCUGAAUCACUCCUCUCAAAUCUAGAUUGUUCUUCCCAAGAGGAUCUCAGUGUGCUCUCAAUAAGAAAAUCUGAGUUGCAAUCAAUCUUUGAUCGUAGUGCGGUCUCCUCUAGAUCACGCAGCCUUUUUCUUCUUUCUCCGAUGUAGAUCUGAAUCGGACUUCUUCAGAUGGUGGACACCCAACACUUUGGGCGUGGCUGCUAUGAGGCAUG